rnacentral:rRNA from 1 species
AGUGAACGCUGGCGGUAGGCCUAACACAUGCAAGUCGAACGGCAGCACAGUAAGAGCUUGCUCUUACGAGUGGCGAGUGGCGGACGGGUGAGGAAUACAUCGGACUCUACUUUUUCGUGGGGGAUAACGUAGGGAAACUUACGCUAAUACCGCAUACGACCUACGGGUGAAAGCAGGGGAUCUUCGGACCUUGCGCGAUUGAAUGAGCCGAUGUCGGAUUAGCUAGUUGGCGGGGUAAAGGCCCACCAAGGCGACGAUCCGUAGCUGGUCUGAGAGGAUGAUCAGCCACACUGGAACUGAGACACGGUCCAGACUCCUACGGGAGGCAGCAGUGGGGAAUAUUGGACAAUGGGCGCAAGCCUGAUCCAGCCAUACCGCGUGGGUGAAGAAGGCCUUCGGGUCUUAAAGCCCUUUUGGUGGGUAAGAAAUGCAGUAGGUUAAUGCCUCGCUGGUCUGGCGGUACCCGGAUAAUAAGCAGGGGCUGACGUCGUG